rnacentral:lncRNA from 1 species
CUUUUCUUCUAACAAGUCAAGGUUGGCCUUGAGAUCCUGUGGGUUGCGCCAUUCGUCGAAUGCCAUGACUCGUGCUGACGGAAGCUUGAGUUCUAUUGGGAUCACGGCCUCUGUCCCGAAAGCUAAAGCAAAGGAGGUCUCCCCUGUGGGCAAUCUCUAAGUAGUCUGGUAUGCCCACAAUACAUGAUAGAGCUCAUCAGCCCAAG